UCUAUAAGCUGUAAAUUGGAAAUUAUAUUCAUUAAAUAAAAGUUAAAAAAGUAUAAUAUAAUAAAUAUACAAACCAGUAUUAAUCAUGUAUUAUCAUUAUCCAUCAUUAAGUACUGGACAUAAUCAUUUUAUACUUUUGUAUAACUGGUAGUGCAGUAAGUUUGUGUGUAACAGCAUUCAUCAGAACAAGUGAGUGAUGAAUGGCUAUAAAGUCACUAGGUGAUAGGUAUGUUUUAGCUCCAUUAUAGUCUUGUGUAUACAGAUCUCUUGUUGACCAAAGUGCUUUUGUGAGGUGCAUGAAUGUAGUGUCUUCUAGGUUAAGGGACUGAAGUAGAAGUUUUUUUCCUUUGUUUUGGCAUACCAAGUAGAAGCUACUUCUGAUAUGUGGGUUCUGAAACCAGACAGUCUGAACUUCUGCAUUUCUUAUAUCAUAAUGAUUCAGUAGGAAUAAAUAGUAUAGAGAGAUUUAUUAACUCAUUGAUUCCAAAAUCAUAUACAUGUUCAUUCACUGAAUUGGCUAGUCUCUUUCUGCUCAUCUUUCUUUUUGAAGCUGUUAGUAAUGGAAACUUAAGACCAAAAAAAUGAAGAACUUAGUCACUGUGUGAUCAGUAAAAUAGGUAGAAAGAACAUGAAAAGAUAGCAAGAGCUGAAGAACAGUUUCAAAUAUAUUGAAUCAUUUUGUUGAGUGAUUCAGGGUAAGUAGAGGCUGAUGCGAAAUAGCAGAACAAAAGGUGAGAAAGCCAGAAAUGAGUUUCUUGCUGAGCAAAUGAUGCAGAAAGCCUGAGGUAGAAUCAUUUCCGGGAGGUACAAAACCUAAAGUUAGAAAGUUCAGGGGUCUGAAAGCUGGGAAUACUGCACACUAUGUAGGAAGCCAUCUGUCACCUGUAUUUCAACAACGCCCACAGCAGUACAACUCCUCUAUUUCAAUUUAGCCAACAUAGACUCCCUGUGGUGAGCUAAACCAUACACAUACAAGUGUACUUCAAAGAGCUUGUGGGAAAUGGAAUAAAAAGACAAGUUUAUCUUGGUGCAAAAAAACCUUUGAAAUCAAUGCAUCUUUUUUUUAUAAGCUAUAUUUCUACUAAUUUUUUGAAAACUCCCAUCAUGUAUUGCUUUCAACAUUUUUUUCACCAAAAUAAACUGAUCUUUUAAUUCCAUUUUCCAUGAACUUUUUGAAACAUCCUCAUAUCAAGGACACCAGUGUGAACAAGCAAGAAGCAGUGCUCACACUCAAAUAGUUAGGUUUUCAACAUGGAACAGGACCAUUUGCCAAGUGGGAGAUCCAUGCCACAUGCCUGAAAUAGUCUGUCAAGAGAGUGGCAUUAUCUUCUCCAAUCCCAUCUUCACGUUCAGGAUCAGUGCUCCAGUGCUCCCAAAGCACCCUACACUUUGCAUUGGUUUACUAUCAAGCUUGUGUAGGUGGUGGAUUUCAUAAUUCAACAGUGACUUGCUCUUUUCAUAGUAGGUUUUUAGCCAUAAAAAGCAACCGGUAUGUGGGGACUUCCAGAUUCAACCACAUAGGUCAUUCAAAGAGAGGAAGCAGUAAGACCUUGCUAUGUUUAAGUUGCAAAGCAGAAAGGUCAUGAGGUUUUUUUUUUUUUCAUUCCUGCAGCACAGCUUAAUAUUUUAUAGGAAUCUCAACUUCUUUUUUACUUAUGGUUUCUGAGCUUGAGAAGCAGGUUUUAAAUGAUUCAUUGUGUUCAUGCAGGAACACCAUAAUUGCAAUUUGAAAGCUAAGUAAGAGUCCUUGUUGAAUUAGAUUCUUCCUAAGUUAUAAUAUUCCUCUCAUUUACAAGCUAACGAAGCUAAGAUUUGGGCAGCCCUUGUUCAAGAAUGUAGAGAAUCCGUGAGGAAUGAUUUUUGCAAUUGCCUUGAUUUUUGCUAUUAGUUUCUGUCUAAAUGAUAUUCUUUGGGCCAGCUGUACCUUGGAAAAACAAGGUUCACAACCUGAGGGAGAUAUUGACUCCCUGAACCCCAAGUGAAGCCAUUGUAACACUAGCACCACAGUGAAGCGGUUCUGACUAGCUGCUCCUAGUUAUCAUGUUCUUCAUUUUGUUAUGAGUAUGUGGAAACUCUGCUUAGGGUUGGAUUGCCCUAGGAAUGCGUGUCCACACACAGACUCAUUCAUGUGUGUUCAUAGAUACAUUUUUAUAAUAGUCCCCAAAUGGAAACAACCCAAAGGUCCAUCAACUGAUGAAUGAGAAAACAAAAUAUGUCAUAUCUAUGCAAGGCUAUAUUAUUAUUCAAUCAUAAAAGGGAAUGAAAUAUUGAUCCUUAAAUACAUUGUGUUAAGUGCACAAAUCCAGUCACAAAGACUACAUAUGUUUUUCUUUCCUAGUCUAUGAAAUGCCUAGAAAAGGCAAAUCCAUGGAGAAAGGAUAUGAGGGUUUGUGAGGGACUGGUAUGAGGGGAAUAUGGGUGGUGACUGCUAGUGGAUUUGCCAUGCGAGGUGAUAAAAUAUUAUAAAGUUAAGUAGUAGUGAUGGUACACAACUCUAUACAUAUUCUCAAAAUCUGUGAUUUUUCACUGUAAAGGGGUGAGUUUCUAGUGGGAUAUCACCUCAUGCCUAUCAGAAUGGCUGUUAUCAAAAACAGAGAAUGGCAAGUGUUGAGAGGGAUGUGGAGAAAAGGGAACUGUUGGGUACUGUUGGUGGGACUGUAAACUAGUGUAGCCACUGUGAAAACCAGUAUGGGAAUUUCUUUAAAAACUAGAAGUGGAACUGCCAUAUGAUCCAACAAUCCCACUACUAUGACCCAAUGCACCCAGAACACAUUAACACAUGGUACCUGCUUCACCAUAUUUAUAGCCUCAGUGUUCACAAUACCCAAAAUGUGGAAUCAGCCCAAGGUGUCCAUCCUCAGAUAAAUGCAUCAGAAAAUGUGACAUAUAUACAUAAUGAAAUACUAUCCUGCUAGAAAAAAAAGAAUGAAAUCCUAUCAUUUGCAGCAAAAUGACAGUGUGGAACUCCAGGACACCAUGUUGAGUGAAAUAAGGCAGACACAAAAGACAAAUACCAAAUGUCAUCCUAUAUUAGUGGGAGUUAAAGUAAAAAAAAAUAAAAUAAAAUAAAAACUCAGUAUGACCACUGAGUAUUGAUUACUAAUGGAUAGGAGGAGUAAGAGGAAGUAAAGGAGCUUAGAUGGAGAAAAAAUAGGAGAAUUCUAGGUGUGGUGGAUUAAUUAAGAGGAAUAUACAGAAACUCUCUGCAUUACUACCUCACAAUUUUUUAUUUUGUAAAUUUAAUACUAUUCUGGAAUAAAAUGUUUAAAAAUGAUAUGUCAGUAAGUAUUUCAAUAUGUUUAAAAAUGGUGUGUGGAUAGUAUCUGUAUAAUUUUGUUACUACCCCCAAAAAAGUGUGUAGAUAUUACAGUCAGGUUGUCAGAGGUAGACUACAAAAGAACCAAAGAAAUAGAUGUCCACAUUCCAGUACUUCAUUCUUUAAGACAGUAAACAAAAUAUCUCAAGGGAACAUGGCGUAACUUAUUUCUUUGUUAUAUUUUAUUUUCCAGGAUUUAAUGUGGCUUGCUUACAGUAAAACACACAUGUAAAAUGACUGGCUGAAUUCAUUGGCCAUAUAGUUUUGGAGUCUAAAAUAUUCCAUAGUUAAGCUAUUAUAAAGACACUAAAUGAUGGAGGUCAGGGAAGAGGAACAUGUGCUGAAUAAAUUAGAAUUUUCCAAAGAAACUGGCACUUAUACAAAACCUGGAAUUUGGAAAGCAUGAAGACAGUGAGGGGUUUUCUGAGAACUAGAGGAGCAUAGCCAAAACCCUUUUCAGGAACAAGCCCAGAAUGGAAGAAGGCAUGUGGGCAGCCACAUGCAGAGGAGCGAGGACAGUGGCUAUGGCGGGCUGGCUCAUUGUGUACCUGUCGCCAUUCCCAAGGAAGCAUCACAUGCCAGACAAGGCAGGGCGCUUCCCUGGAUUUCCUGGAUAGUGAGCUCAGACCGCAGCCUCUGACUCCUUGCCAGGGGGACAUCCUGGUGAAAAACUUCUUUAAAACAUGUGGAGCUCUUUGUUUCUAUCAAUACGUAACAUUUUUCCAUAUGCAUAUUUUGGAGCCUGGAAAUAAGUCACCAAAAAAGAAGUGAAAUUACUUUCUCAGUAUCCAAGAGUGAAAAUCCUUCUCCUUCUUUCUUACUUCUCUGCGACACUGAGCCCCUAAGCUUGACUUGACUAGAUGAUGACAACUCUACACUCACAGGUUUUUCUCACACUGUUUAACUUUAGCAAUACAAAAAGGGGUUUCCCUUCAAAGCACAAUGCAGGUACUCAGAUGAUAGUCUCACAUAUUUAAAAAAUAAAUAGGGUAAAAUCACACCAGUAAUACACUUUUGAAUGUGGUAAAAAUGUUUUUGCAGCAACUAACACAAUAUAAGUGUAUUCACUAAAAAGCAGUGCCUGCAUCUCAUUCUGGCACAUUUAGGGGAAGAUCACUUUUAAAGAUGUAUUUAUGCCAGAACUGAUCAUGAAGCGUUAGUUAGUAGUUCCUAUCAUGAGGCUAUUACCUUCUCCGGCUUGGACGGAUGGAUGACUCUAAACACUAUCAUUUUUGUCCUUUUUUAAGCAGCUGGGGCCUACAGUACUGUCAGAGGAAGCUUUUCUCGGCCCCAGGGUAGGAAAAGCUGCCUUGUUUCAGACUUUGACAGUGGCCUUUGGCCAAUUGAGCAAUCACCUCUAUGUGCUUGGAAUAAAGUCUCCUGUAGUCAUUUUACCCAGUAGAAUGGUGACUGCAACAAAACCGCAAAGACUACUCUCUACAGGAUAGAAGAAACCAGAAAGUGACAGGGAUGCAAUAGAACGUGUCUGACUAUCACAAGCCUGAAACUGCAAACAGCAACCUACAUGCAUCAUUUCUAUGACAAUUUUUAUUUCUAAAUGCCUACUCUCUGAACAACAGUCUCCUUACAAAACUCUUACCACCAAGAGAGGAGCUUGGCAGAGUUCCAGCACAGUCUCAUGCUAUUGAGCUAUACUAAUUGUCAACCAGAGGGUUUGUAAAAGAGAACAGGAAGUCUGUUGUGGCCAAAGCAAUUUGUAGUGGUCUGAAAGCAGCUAAUUCUCAGAAAAGAAAUUCUUUGUAACCAUAUUAAUAUCCCUAACAUAUUUUUCCUACUUUGCUUCUUAUUUGUGAUCAACUUUUUGGCCAUAGUGGAAACACAUUAAACAUGUAAAAUGAGCAGAAGCACCACAAUGGUUAAAGCUGAAAUUUUAGAAAGGUCUUUUGCUUUUUUAAGUACAUGCUCCGGCAUCAUAAAGCAAUGUAACUGAGAUCGGUAGCGUGUAAUAGUCAGCCAUUAUAAAUGUGCUCCUUUUCUUAUACCUUGUAUAGUCGUACAAGGUAAGAGAUGUGCAAGAACUACAAACAUAGUGUGAAAUCUUGUUCUAUUUAGAUUGAUCACAUGAUUCCAUGAGAGUGAUUCAGCUUGAGUUGUCUUAGUAACAAGUCAAUGUCAUUUCAUAAGUAAAGAUCAUCAGGAAUCAUUCAAGGUAUUGUACACAUCAUUAGGCAGGUUUUAUAGCCCUAACUGAAUGAAUUCCCAGUCUCAUAACUGCAUGUGAGCAUUAGCUUAAAUAGUUUAGAGUCCAUCUGUGCUAUAUCACAUCACUAAUCAAAUAGCCAUAUGAUUAUUGCUAUUGGAUAUGUGAGCUCACAUUAGCAAAACUUAUCAUUUAAAGAAAAAGCUUUUUAAACCAGCUAAGUAAUCACUCUAUUUUAUGACUCCACAGAGCAAUUAUCUUAAUAGGGCGGUAAGAUUAAUGUACAUCUGUAGGCUUGAUUUUAAGCCUUGUUGUUCCAAUCUACAUCAGAACCAGAGUAUUUUAAGGCAGCCAUUAUUUAGAGUAAAAAGAAGACAAUAAAACAAUGGAAGACUAGGUAGACAGAAGGAAGAUUAAUCUCUUCUAUUUUACUUGUAUGAACAAUUUAUUAUAAAGUCAUAAUAUAGCACAUUUUUAUUUAGAAAAAAAUGUCCUGAGUAUUUUCAAUAGACUACAAUCUGUAAUAUUUCCUGCAAACCAAGCAGAAAAUACUGUGUAUCUGGGAAAUAUCUGUCUGAACAGGAAACAACAGUAGAAAUCCAGUAAUAAUCCUCAAAGGUCAAACUCUACUAGAGUUUACUAGAGUUUAAUCAUUGUGCAUCUUCUAAACCAGUGAAUUAUGUAAAAGGGGCAACUUGAAGGAGGAAAUUCAAAACCAAUUAAAAUGUAAUGGCUCAAUCAACCAUCUUCAUCUUCAUAUCUGUUCCAUCUUCAUAUCUGCACUGGUUCACUGUAUCUGAAUUUGUCUAAGCCCUGUGGAUAGUUUUGAAUUUGUAGCCACAGCUCUACCCAAUUCUGUUAAGACAGAUGAGGUCAAAUUCUGGGGCAAAUGCAUUGGCCCAGGGAAUUCAGUCAACAGCUAUGUUCUAAAAUGAACAUUUAUUUUUACCAUAUGCUGUAUCUAGAACUCAGUAGUCUUUAUCUUCUGUUGUUAAAUCCACAUGACAUUUUUCCUCUUUCAUACUGACUAACCCUCAUGCUUCCCAAUGUGCAUGUGCUACAGAGAGAGAGACAGAGAGAGAGAGAGAGAGAGAGAGAGAGAGAUUCUUUCAUUGCUUACAUAUGCUCAUCCUGAUGCACUAUACACACCCAUGUACUCCACACACAUACCACAUGCAUACCAUACAUCUACACACACACUCCAAAAAAUCUUAUGUACAAUCACAUACACAUUCCUCACUACUUAUCAUAGAGACCGCUCAUUCCAUAUACACAACCACGCAAGCUCACAAAAUCACAAAUGACAUACCCAUACAGUCCUCAUACCACAGAUGCACACAUCUGCAUACACACAUAUGCUUACUAAAUUCAAUAAACAAUGCACCCAACUUGGCACUAAGGUUAUAGCACUGAAGAACACAGAAUUUUUCACACUCAUGGAGCCCAUAUCAGGAAUUUUAAAAGGGGGAUCUGAAAUUUAAAAAAAAAGAUGUGAGUCUAGGAUUAGAAGAAAGAAAGAAAGGAUUGGGGGUUGGAUUAAGAAAGGUUAGGGAGAAAAUAGCAGAGGAAAUUCUAAGCAAAUUGGAGGGACACAGUGGGCCUAUGUGGAGGAUGAGGACAUAAAAAAAGGACUCCACCUGCUGAGAGCCUACACACCAGCAUUGUAGAGUGAGGUGAGCCCAGGCUGCAGCAGCCCAAGCCACUGGCAAAAAAGAUACAGGAAGAGCCUAGAAGGAAUCCAGCUUGGAGUCCUGUGGAGGAUAGUGUACCCACCAAACUAGAGGAGAAAAAAUAAAGAGGGGGCAUGCUUUCUCUAUUCUCAGUCAUCCUGCAAUGGUAUCCUAUAACAAGCUGAUAGAGAGCAGGUGCCAUUUUUGGACAAACAUAAGAGCUGUGCCAACUCGUGUCCACCUCCAGCAACCAGCCAAGUGGAGACUCCUGAGUCUGGUGGGGAGAAGAGACAGGGUACUGGGUUCUUAUGACUGUGUGAGGCUUGGGUGCCGGGACUGUGAAAACACUGAGGCUGUAUGGGAAAACUCAGGGUGUGGCUGGGACUUUGGGCAGUCGCUGUGGGAGGCUGCACACAAUCAGGGAUUCUAGCAGGGACAUUGCUGGGGAAUCUGAGCUUAUACUGAGGCCUGCAUAGAUCCUUUGGGUGAUCCUUGUGCCAGAAUAGAUGAAUAAUAUAUCCAUGGGGAUAGCACCCAGGCACUGCUCUACAGUGAUGCUGUAAAGGAGCUAAGCUGAAUGUAUGCCAAAAGACAAGAACAAACCUCCCCUCUGAUUAAAAAAAAAAAAAAAGAGGAGACUUACCAUGCCAAACCUGAGACUUUCACCUCAGACAAGCCCUCCACUCUGGAGCACUGAACAGAGCUCCUUGGCCACACACCACAUGCUGCUAGGUUUUCCCUGAAAGCAGACAUUGCAUUAAUCCACACAGAUGUAGUUCGAAUAUAAAGCGUCCACAGCAAAAAAGAAGAAACAAAUAAGUAUAUCUACAAAUGCUGAAUCACAAACACACCAAUUCAAGAAACAAGAAAAAGGAAGAUAACAUAAUCCCCCAAAAGAACAUAACACCUAAAUACUGGAUUGUGAAGAUGAUGAGAUUGAAGAAAUGGAGUCAAAGGGAGCACAUAGACAAGUCUAGUACCUGCUAACGCUAACCGAUGGAGUAAAUAAAGGGGAGAGUGAUCCAACAUGGGAAGUGAGAUACUCAGCAGACUCAUAGAAUGGCAGAUGUCCUAAAUAGCACUCUGGCCUCAGAAUCAGCCCUAAAGGCAUUCAGAUCUGGCUGAAAGCCCAUGAGAGUAUUUCAGGCAUGGAAAGCCAAGACACUCUGGCAAAAGAUCUAUGUGAGUGAGAUCCCAGUGGAAAGAACAGGUCUUCAAAGAAGGAGGUACCUUUCUCUGAAGGGAGGAGAGAACCUCCACUUUGAAUAUGACCUUGUCUAAACAAGAUAAGAGUUGGUGAACUCAAAAGGCUUCCAUAGCCUUGGAAACUCAUGACUGGUGCAUAGGGAGAUUACUGAUGCCAUAAACAGGAGUGUCAA